rnacentral:rRNA from 1 species
GCGACAGGCUUAACACAUGCAAGUCGAGGGGCAGCACAGGUAGCAAUACCGGGUGGCGACCGGCGCACGGGUGAGUAACGCGUAUGCAACUUGCCUAUCAGAGGGGGAUAACCCGGCGAAAGUCGGACUAAUACCGCAUGAAGCAGGGAUCCCGCAUGGGAAUAUUUGCUAAAGAUUCAUCGCUGAUAGAUAGGCAUGCGUUCCAUUAGGCAGUUGGCGGGGUAACGGCCCACCAAACCGACGAUGGAUAGGGGUUCUGAGAGGAAGGUCCCCCACAUUGGUACUGAGACACGGACCAAACUCCUACGGGAGGCAGCAGUGAGGAAUAUUGGUCAAUGGCCGAGAGGCUGAACCAGCCAAGUCGCGUGAGGGAUGAAGGUUCUAUGGAUCGUAAACCUCUUUUAUAAGGGAAUAAAGUGCGGGACGUGUCCCGUUUUGUAUGUACCUUAUGAAUAAGGAUCGGCUAACUCCGUGCCAGCAGCCGCGGUAAUACGGAGGAUCCGAGCGUUAUCCGGAUUUAUUGGGUUUAAAGGGUGCGUAGGCGGCCUUUUAAGUCAGCGGUGAAAGUCUGUGGCUCAACCAUAGAAUUGCCGUUGAAACUGGGGGGCUUGAGUAUGUUUGAGGCAGGCGGAAUGCGUGGUGUAGCGGUGAAAUGCAUAGAUAUCACGCAGAACCCCGAUUGCGAAGGCAGCCUGCCAAGCCAUGACUGACGCUGAUGCACGAAAGCGUGGGGAUCAAACAGGAUUAGAUGCCCUGGUAGUCCACGCAGUAAACGAUGAUCACUAGCUGUUUGCGAUACACUGUAAGCGGCACAGCGAAAGCGUUAAGUGAUCCACCUGGGGAGUACGCCGGCAACGGUGAAACUCAAAGGAAUUGACGGGGGCCCGCACAAGCGGAGGAACAUGUGGUUUAAUUCGAUGAUACGCGAGGAACCUUACCCGGGUUUGAACGCAUUCGGACCGAGGUGGAAACACCUUUUCUAGCAAUAGCCGUUUGCGAGGUGCUGCAUGGUUGUCGUCAGCUCGUGCCGUGAGGUGUCGGCUUAAGUGCCAUAACGAGCGCAACCCUUGCCACUAGUUACUAACAGGUAAAGCUGAGGACUCUGGUGGGACUGCCAGCGUAAGCUGCGAGGAAGGCGGGGAUGACGUCAAAUCAGCACGGCCCUUACAUCCGGGGCGACACACGUGUUACAAUGGCGUGGACAAAGGGAAGCCACCUGGCGACAGGGAGCGAAUCCCCAAACCACGUCUCAGUUCGGAUCGGAGUCUGCAACCCGACUCCGUGAAGCUGGAUUCGCUAGUAAUCGCGCAUCAGCCAUGGCGCGGUGAAUACGUUCCCGGGCCUUGUACACACCGCCCGUCAAGCCAUGGGAGCCGGGGGUACCUGAAGUCCGUAACCGCGAGGAUCGGCCUAGGGUAAAACUGGUGACUGGGGCUAAGUCGU